UACGUAGGGUGCGAGCGUUAAUCGGAAUUACUGGGCGUAAAGCGUGCGCAGGCGGUUCGUUGUGUCGGUGGUGAAAUCCCCGGGCUUAACCUGGGAAUGGCCAUGGAAACUGGCGAACUGGAGUGCGGCAGAGGGGGGUGGAAUUCCGCGUGUAGCAGUGAAAUGCGUAGAGAUGCGGAGGAACACCGAUGGCGAAGGCAGCCCCCUGGGCUGAGCACUGGACGCCUCGAGCACGAAAGCGU
rnacentral:rRNA from 1 species